rnacentral:rRNA from 1 species
CCUACGGGAGGCUGCAGUGGGGAAUAUUGGACAAUGGGGGAAACCCUGAUCCAGCCAUGCCGCGUGUGUGAAGAAGGUCUUAGGAUUGUAAAGCACUUUAAGUUGGGAGGAAGGGUUGUAGAUUAAUACUCUGCAAUUUUGACGUUACCGACAGAAUAAGCACCGGCUAACUUCGUGCCAGCAGCCGCGGUAAUACGAAGGGUGCAAGCGUUAAUCGGAAUUACUGGGCGUAAAGCGCGCGUAGGUGGUUCGUUAAGUUAGGAGUGAAAGCCCCGGGCUCAACCUGGGAAUUGCUUCUAAAACUGGCGAGCUAGAGUAUGGUAGAGGGUGGUGGAAUUUCCUGUGUAGCGGUGAAAUGCGUAGAUAUAGGAAGGAACAUCAGUGGCGAAGGCGACCACCUGGACUGAUACUGACACUGAGGUGCGAAAGCGUGGGGAGCAAACAGGAUUAGAUACCCCAGUAGUC